rnacentral:rRNA from 1 species
GAUGAACGCUGGCGGCGUGCCUAAUACAUGCAAGUCGAACGCAUCACUUCGGUGAUGAGUGGCGAACGGGUGAGUAAUACAUAAGUAACCUAGCCUCUGGAGGGGGAUAACUAUUGGAAACGAUAGCUAAGACCGCAUAGGCAUAGGCAUCGCAUGAUGAAUAUGUUAAAUAUCCCACGGGAUAGCGAGAGGAUGGACUUAUGGCGCAUUAGCUGGUUGGUGAGGUAGAGGCUCACCAAGGCGACGAUGCGUAGCCGACCUGAGAGGGUGGACGGCCACACUGGGACUGAGACACGGCCCAGACUCCUACGGGAGGAAGCAGUAGGGAAUUUUCGGCAAUGGGCGAAAGCCUGACCGAGCAACGCCGCGUGAGGGAGGAAGUACUUCGGUAUGUAAACCUCUGUUGUAAAGGAAGAACGGCAUAUGUAGGGAAUGACAUAUGAGUGACGGUACUUUAUGAGGAAGCCACGGCUGACUACGUGCCAGCCGCCGCCGUAAAAC